ACACUCAAUUUCUGCCUGGUUACAGAGUACAGCUUCCAUGCAUGGAGGUUAACACAGGUUUCUCUAGCCAAGGAAUUUUUUGAAGCAAAUCAUACUUGCAUAGUCUGUUGCAGCUAAUGUGCCUCCAUUGAUGACGCCACACUACGUUGGCAGACUGUGAUAUGUAAAGAAAGAAGAGCAAAUGGUUUGUGUAUUGCCCUAUCAAUAAGAGUACAUAUAGCUAAGGAUGGCAUCUGCUCUGAUUCCAUCACCUCAGCACUUUGCACUUGAAUGUCAUUGGUCAACCAGCACGAUCCUAGAAGAAAAUAACAGAGCUGCAAUCAUGUGAAUGACGGUAUAGGAAGAAAAAAAAACGAGAAAACAGCUACUAGUAGUUGAAUGAAGAAAAUUCAACUAUAUUUAUGGAAUAGUCAUUUAUGCGAUACUCAUUAUUCUGAAGAACACCUUCUGUAAUGACCCAAAACCAGUUCAGAAAACCACAACACUUCUGAAUUCAAUCUGGAGGCUAUGCUACAAUUUGAUCCUUGUGAGUGGUCUGGAGGCGAUGAAACAAAACGAAAUCUUGAAAAGAAGAAGCAUUACUUUGCAAGAAACUUCCCGCAGGUAAGGUCUCUAACAGACCUCCAAGUGAUGGGAGGCUAUAGAGAAGAAGCUGCUUCUGCCAUCCUCAAUGGUUCAGGAGCAUCUGGGAGCUGAUAAUUCUCUGACUUGUCCACCCAAAUGUUCCCCAAUGUUCCCAUUUUGGGUUAGAUGGUCUCACUCAGUUUCUAUUAGGGCCCUGACUUUAACCCAGAAAACCUGUUACGUCUCUGCAUGGCACCUCUACUACUACUACUACUACUACUACUACUACUACUACUACUACUACUAUCACUAUAGUGAUAACCAGAUGGGAGAAGAAUUAAUAUCUUGCAAAUGAUUGAUAUCAGAACAAUUAAGGAACUCCUGUAACUCAACAGCAACAACAACAAAGAAAGAACUCCCAUGGAAUAUUGGACAAAAGUUAUGAAAAAUUCAUUUGCAGAAAAAUAAAAAGCAUUUGAGGAAUGAUUCAAAGCAUUACAGAGAAAUGAUAAACACUAAGACACAAUAAAGUAUCACUUAAUACCUAGGACUGGUAAAAAUGAAAAUGCUGAAUUUGAUGAGGGAUGUUGGUGAAGUGAGAACGGAGUAACCACCACGCUCCGCUGGUGAGCAUGUAGCCUGUUGCGGUCCCUGUGAAGAGUAGCUGACAUUACUGAGAUGAGUGUCUGUAUACCCGGGAACUAGCAAGUGCACUCCUGAAUUUAUAUUCCAAGGAAUUUUCAGACUAAAUCAAAGAGAAAAUGCCAGCAAGGUUCUCUGCAGUUUAUUUGUUAUUUCCAGCAGUGGGAAAACAAACAGAGAGAGGAUACGACCUGCCUCCUGAUGCAGAAUUCUUAUAGCUACAUCAGCGAGAAAGAGAAGUGAACUACUUGUUCUUAAGGAACUGAAGAUUGUUACAUUCAUACUGGACUGCCAUGCAAUGUGUGCAAAACUGGUAACAAUUUUCCAAAAAUUAUAGGGGUAUUCUGAUGAUAGUAACCUCAUCCUCCCGAGAACAGAAGAGCUGGGGCAUUUCUGAAAGGAUUAAUGGGACCAAUUUGCCUUAUCUCAAGAGAUUGAUGUAUUCUCUCUGAUUAUGCUACAGUAGACUGAGAAUUGACUUCUCUAAAGGGUAGUUGGUUCUAGGAGUGAUCCAAAUCUAUAAUUCUAUCUUAUGAAAUUCUACAGGCUUUCUUUAAAAGGCUUAUAAUUCCUUGACUUCAAUAAGGGGAAUUCUCAUUUUCUAACAUAUCUAUGAACCACAUCAUUAAUACAAUCAUCUAUUUCUCCCCAAUUUUAGGCACCAAAACUGGGGAGGGAAUAGAGCAACAUGGUGCUCUAUUAAAUCUAAAUCUAAAUUAAAUCACAUUUCCAUUAAGGAAAUGAGAUUCAGUUCAAUGUAACGGCUGUCAUGAAAUCUAGGCUGGGAAGUGGAAUCAAACUUACUUUUCCUAAUUUUAAGUCCAAUGUGUUCAUCCUAGUAUUUUCUAAAUUGUAUGAUAUUAACAAGAAUAUCAGCUGUGAGACAGGAAUUACAAGUGAGAUCAUGCAAGCUCAGAGCUUGAGAACUUUGACCACUUGGUCUUCUUGGUUUGUUUUACUUCUAUACAUCCCUACCAUCCAUGCUGCAUAUCCCCUAAGAAAAUCUUAAGACUAACGUUACUGAUAUUCUAAGAAAAGCAUAAUCUUCUGCUAUACUUUCAGAAUUCAGUCCAAAUUUCACAUCUGAAGAUCAUGGUGAACUAACUUCUCUCAUUCUCUCAUCUUUGCCUAUCAUGGUGGUCCAUCUAGUUUUGGCUCUACCAACUAUUUCACUCAACUGGAGGAGAUAUUUACACAUACACAUACACACACACACAUACACACACACACACGUGCUUGCACCUUUCUGGGAUAUGACUGGUUGAUUAGAGGAAAAUAUUCAAAGAUAUUAGAUGUGUUUAAUUAGGAUUCCACAUGCGCCUAUUAUUUUAAGAUGAGAAAUAAAAUGCUCUCUGAGAAGCCUUAUCUAAAAUUUGAAUGGAAUUUCCAAGUCAUUCUGUUCUUGGUUAUUGUGAUAGUUCAAUGUUGUGGAAAUCAUUACAAAUUCUGUUUUGCUACUAUAAAGAAGGAUGAGACCUUGAAAUGAAUGAAUAAAUCUUCCAGAUUUUAAGUUAUUAGACCUUCAACUUUUACUCACAAAAUCUAUUACUGUAAAUAAUAAACAUGAACAAUCAAACAGCACUAUAGUCUUUCAUCCCAGAAUUUAUUUCAAGCAUAUCAUUGAUAAUAGAAAUACCUUUAUAUACUCAAAAUACUUUUUGAAGGAA
ensembl:lncRNA novel transcript